rnacentral:rRNA from 1 species
CAGUCGCCGCGGUAAUACGGAGGGAGCUAGCGCUGUUCGGAAUUACUGGGCGUAAAGCGCGCGUAGGCGGUUACUCAAGUCAGAGGUGAAAGCCCGGGGCUCAACCCCGGAACUGCCUUUGAAACUAGGUGACUAGAAUCUUGGAGAGGUCAGUGGAAUUCCGAGUGUAGAGGUGAAAUUCGUAGAUAUUCGGAAGAACACCAGUGGCGAAGGCGACUGACUGGACAAGUAUUGACGCUGAGGUGCGAAAGCGUGGGGAGCAAACAGGAUUAGAUACCCCGGUAGUCCCUGUCUCUUAUAC